UCCAGGGUAGCCUAGUGGACAUGGCAUCUGCCCCGGUAAGCGGAACACUGUGGGUUCGAUUCCCAUCCCUGGAC